UACGUAGGGACCGAGCGUUGUCCGGAAUCAUUGGGCGUAAAGAGCGUGUAGGCGGCCUUUUAAGUCCUGCGUGAAAUCCUGCGGCUCAACCGCAGACGGUCGUGGGAAACUGGAAGGCUAGAGUGCGGGAGAGGAGAGUGGAAUUCCCGGUGUAGCGGUGAAAUGCGCAGAUAUCGGGAAGAACACCCGUGGCGAAGGCGGCUCCCUGGAACGCAACUGACGCUGAGACGCGAAAGCGUGGGGAGCAAACAGG
rnacentral:rRNA from 1 species